GUACACUCCUGCGGGAGGCAGCAGUGGGGAAUUUUGAACAAUGGGCGAAAGCCUGAUCCAGCAAUGCCGCGUGUGUGAAGAAGGCCUUCGGGUUGUAAAGCACUUUUGUCCGGAAAGAAAUCCUUGGCUCUAAUACAGUCGGGGGAUGACGGUACCGGAAGAAUAAGCACCGGCUAACUACGUGCCAGCAGCCGCGGUAAUACGUAGGGUGCGAGCGUUAAUCGGAAUUACUGGGCGUAAAGCGUGCGCAGGCGGUUUGCUAAGACCGAUGUGAAAUCCCCGGGCUCAACCUGGGAACUGCAUUGGUGACUGGCAGGCUAGAGUAUGGCAGAGGGGGGUAGAAUUCCACGUGUAGCAGUGAAAUGCGUAGAGAUGUGGAGGAAUACCGAUGGCGAAGGCAGCCCCCUGGGCCAAUACUGACGCUCAUGCACGAAAGCGUGGGGAGCAAACAGGAUUAGAAACCCUGGUAGUCCCAUGAU
rnacentral:rRNA from 1 species